CAAGAACUCUGCAGUGACUGCAUUUAGAUUGUGUGUAGCUUCCUGUUCACAAGGAAAGUGUGAGAGGGCAGUCUGCAUUUGGACAUUCUGAGAUGGAUAGAGACUAUGGCUCCAUGCUCAGCACCCUCAAGAGGAGGAGGCAGCUGACUGCUGAUGAGCUUAUGUUCAUAGCAUAGGCGGAAAAGGCUCAUGAGGUCAUGCGCACACAGGAGGAAGAUCUGCUUGACCAGGAACUACUGCAGGAACACCCGGACCUCGAGGAUAUGGAGGAUGAGAUGGAACCUGAUCCCCAGCCAAGACCAUCAACUGGGUAUGCAUGAAUGUUGAGAGUCGGGGAGAUAAAAAGACGGCCAGUUCUCAGAGAGAGGAGAGAGACAGACAGACCAGAGUUUUCGUGUUGUGUGAUGCUGAAAAGCAGACUAUUUAUUUGAGUAAAGCUGAAAAGAAGCCGUCUUGUGUUUUGAUUGAAGCUGUACAGCGAUUGCUGGUUAUUUGUGAAUAAAACGUACUCACAUGAACUAUUUGUUACAAUGUAAUUUUCAGGGAUGGAUAACAACACUGAAAAUGUAAUAAAAUGGCGCUGAAAUAAAGUAGCACUAUGUACAGGGCGCCGA